UACGUAGGGGGCAAGCGUUGUCCGGAUUUAUUGGGCGUAAAGAGCUCGUAGGCGGCUUGGCAAGUCGGGUGUGAAACCUCCAGCUCAACCUGGAGACGCCACUCGAUACUGCCAUGGCUAGAGUCCGGUAGGGGACCACGGAAUUCCUGGUGUAGCGGUGAAAUGCGCAGAUAUCAGGAGGAACACCGGUGGCGAAGGCGGUGGUCUGGGCCGGCACUGACGCUGAGGAGCGAAAGCGUGGGUAGCAAACAGG
rnacentral:rRNA from 1 species